rnacentral:rRNA from 1 species
CGGGGUGCAGCAGGCGCGAAAACUUUGCAAUGCGGGAAACCGUGACAAGGGAACCCCGAGUGCCCGUAAAUUCGGGCUGUUCCGGUGUACAAAAAGCACCGGGAGAAAGGGCCGGGCAAGACCGGUGCCAGCCGCCGCGGUAAUACCGGCGGCUCGAGUGGUGGCCACUAUUACUGGGCUUAAAGCGUUCGUAGCUGGAUUGUUAAGUCUCUUGGGAAAUCUACCGGCUUAACCGAUAGGCGUUCAAGAGAUACUGGCAAUCUAGGGACCGGUAGAGGUGAGAGGUACUCCAGGGGUAGGAGUGAAAUCCUGUAAUCCUUGGGGGGCCACCUGUGGCGAAGGCGUCUCACCAGAACGGCUCCGACUGUGAGGGACGAAAGCUGGGGGAGCAAACCGGAUUAGAUACCCGGGUAGUCCCAGCUGUAAACGAUGCGCGUUAGGUGUAUCGGUGACCACGAGUCACCGAGGUGCCGAAGAGAAAUCGUGAAACGCGCCGCCUGGGAAGUACGGUCGCAAGGCUGAAACUUAAAGGAAUUGGCGGGGGAGCAC